CCUACGGGAGGCAGCAGUGGGGAAUAUUGGGCAAUGGGCGCAAGCCUGACCCAGCAACGCCGCGUGAGGGAAGAAGGCUUUCGGGUUGUAAACCUCUUUUCUCAAGGACAGAAAAAGUGACGGUACCUGACGAAUAAGCCACGGCUAACUACGUGCCAGCAGCCGCGGUAAUACGUAGGGGGCAAGCGUUAUCCGGAUUUACUGGGUGUAAAGGGCGUCUAGGCGGUACUGCAAGUCAGAUGUGAAAGCCACGGGCUCAACCCAUGGCCUGCAUUUGAAACUGUAGUGCUUGAGUACUGGAGAGGCAGGCGGAAUUCCUAGUGUAGCGGUGAAAUGCGUAGAUAUUAGGAGGAACACCAGUGGCGAAGGCGGCCUGCUGGACAGUAACUGACGUUGAGGCUCGAAAGCGUGGGGAGCAAACAGGAUUAGAUACCCCUGUAGUC
rnacentral:rRNA from 1 species